CUGCAUGGAAAAUAGCAAAGAACAUCACUAUGCCAACCGCAAGGAAUGGGAGUCUAAAUACUUCAGCCCACUGAAUUUUAGGAUACAGUUUCUAUCAUUUGCACAAGUCCAAAGAGUCAGAACACUUGCAUAUAACAAGCAGGAUGAACAUUUAUCUUCCUUCUCUUGGCAAAGUACCUGUAUUUCCUUUAAGACCGACAAUCUGACAGUCUCCAACUUCUCUGGAAAGAAUUCAUGGUCCAUUCUGCCCAGAACACUGGCUUCUACUCGAGUAGCAAGACAAUGCAGAGAGAAUAAAUGAGAAAAAAUCCGAGGAAAAUGAAGCAAAGCCUGCUCUACUUCUGAAUUUUCAGGCAGAAAACACUCCAGGAGAGGACCACCAGUUCUGACUUGAGGAAUGGAAAUGUGAUUUCCUCACAUUCUGAGAUGUUCCCAGGCAGAUCCACUUGCAGAGAUGGGAGAGAAGGAGCAGAGAUCCACAGCAGAAGCAAGGCGGCCUGCAGGCACCUAAACCUCAGAGUGAGCCAUGCUUUCUGUUCCGGUUGAGGCAGCUGGGGUCCUAAGAAAGUGGGAUAAAUGCCACUAUUUCGGUCCCUGUUUAUCAUCAUCCGGCUUAAUCCCAGAGGUGGUCACACUCACAGGAAGUGUGUGGCACAGCAGGAUAAAUAAACCUUCAGCUUUCUUGUUAAAGGACCAAAAAGGAAAGCCCCAGAAAACUGAGAAGUAUAGGGAUAAUUCCAGAUAGGGAAGAACUCAGAACUGUGACUUUUUAAAACUGUGUAUGAACUCAUGGGCUCACCCUUGACCUCAUCAUACAUGGAUCCUAAACUAAACAACAUACCAUAUUUUUGAAAACUAAACUAAGAGAUAAGACUACUGCCUAGGUCCCAGACUGGCCACUGGCCCGUGUACACAUGGGACAGAUCUGAAUGGUAAAGGCAGUGGCAAUAGAACUGAAUUAACACCACAAUAAAUGUAAAACCAAUUGAAAUUUGUUUUGUACACCCAACUAUGCUGAUAAUCUGCUGAAACACAAAUAUCAACAUUAAGUAUCAUUUAAACAAGGCAUAGGGUUUCAUAGCAUAAUAUUCAAAAUGUCUAGGGUACAAGCCCUAAUUAUUGAGGAUAUAAAGAAUUAAGAAAAUGUCUCUACAUGCAGGAUAAAAGGCAUUGAACAGACAGCACAGCCAAGAUGUUAUAGAUGUUGGAAUUCUGUGAUAAAGAAUUUAAAUCAGUGAUUAUAAGAUGCUUCAGCAAGCAAUCACAGACAUAAUUUAAAUAAAUAGAAUUAGAGAAAAUAUUAGAAACAAAGUAGAAUAUGAGCCAAAGUGAAGAAGAUCCAAAUAUAAAUUUUAGGACUGAGAAAUAAAGUAACAGCGAAAGCAAAACCUCAUGGCAUAGAUCAGGUAUUUUAAAUUCAGGGUCAAUAUACGGCUUCUUGAGGAUGUAGAAGGGGCUGUGGGUCCUUGAAAUUGAAUUGUAUGGAUAUCACAUGGGCAGUUUCCAAGGAGGUGGGUGCAGUGCUGACAAUGCUGGUGUCUGGGCUGCAAGCUUGGAGGUUAUAAUGUAAUGAUCUGUGGGUAGGGCUACAGGAACAAGUGUUUUAAAAGAAUCUACUCAGACCAUUUGGGACAGGACAGAGAUAUUCCCUUAGGGACCAGUGCCCCCUGUCCCCUGCCAAGCCUGGAAAUAAAUGAAAAUCUUGAGUUCCUUUAAGGAUAAUUUUAGGUACCUAACUAUCUCUAAUAAGUAAAUAAGCAACUUAUAAAGCCACAAGUAAAGAGUAGCCUAAAAUAAUAGCCACGGAAGCUACAAUCACAGAAUGUUUGGUUCUCCUAUGGAAACUAAAGAUAACAUCUUAACAUAUGUUUCUGAGUUGUUUUUCAGAAACCUGGAUUCCAACCAAGAGGAUCUGCCAGCACAACAAGUAGGCCUCUGACAAGGAGGAAUUGCAGACUGACCUCUGACCACCACUCCUUGUUAUAAAUUUCUUCCCACCAGGCCUGGAGAAUCUCAUCUCCACAAGCCAGAGCUAACAUUCUUCUUUGCAGACCCCCAAUUUUUUUUUUUCUUGGAGACAGAGUUUCACUCGUUACCCAGACUGGAGUGCAAUGACACGAUCCUGGCUCACCACAACCUCUACCUCCUGGGUUCAAGCAAUUCUCCUGCCUCAGUCUCCCAAGUAGCUGGGACUAUAAGUGCGUGCCACCAUGCCCAGCUAAUUUUUGUGUUUUUAGUAGAGACAGUGUUUCACCAUGUUGACCAGGAUGGUCUCGAUCUCUUGACCUCGUGAUCUACCCGCCUCGGCCUCCCAAAGUGCUAAGAAUAUAGGCAUAAGCCACCAUGCCCGGCCUGCAGACUCCAAAUUUUUAAACAAAGUUUUCUUCCUUAACCUAUUGCAUAUUAGAAAAUCUCUUAAUCUACCUAUGACCUGUAAGUUCCCUCUUCAAGUCAUCCCACAUUUUUAGACCAACACCACUGUGUAACCUCCACGUACUGAUUUUUAAAUUUUUCCCUAACUUCCACUUUCCUGAAAUUUACCCUGACUUUGAUUUAUCCCUUGUCUGCAAGCCAUUGGGAAGGUUGGAACAUAAGUUUAAAUUACCUGAUUCCAUUUGCUUGGUACCCUGCAAAUAAAUACUUUCCUUUUUCCUGCUGCAAAGGUCAGCAUGGAUACAGAUAUCCAUGCUGCUUACUGCUCCAAGUAAGUGGACCCCUGUUCACUUCCAUAACACAUUCUCAUCACCAGCCAGGAACAAGAACAGCUGAUCAAGUGUUGCCCACUUAGCUUUCAGAAAAGAAGACUGAAGCUCAACAGGUUUUACCCCAUCAGCUUUCUCUGCCACCUAGAUUAGCCUAGAAAAAGUGCAUCUCUUGUCUUAUCCUGUUGCUGACCCUGACUGCGGCAUCUCCUAAGUGAGGACAUGUGGAAACAGCAGGAGGCUCCUGUCAUGAUGAGAAACAGGUUAAGUCAUUGGAAAAUGACAGCAUGGGCAGAAUGAAAAAUGUUUUGAGCGACAGAAGGGAAACAAUUUAUUUCUUUCUUAUAAAAAUCUAUGAAAUUUUCCUUUAUUGGCUAGCACUAGACAUUUUCUGAGAGGGAGGAUCAAAUUUUAUUGAUGACCACUUUUUAAUAAACCACUUAAUGUGAAGAUAAAACUCUGAAUAUCUACAUUAUCAGUAACCCUGAUGAUUUUUCUAAAAAAGGUAAUUAAACAGGUUGUUCAAUCAGAGAUAAAAAAAAAUAAUAGAGGAGAAAAAUCUGAUAAGAGAACAAAAGGAGAAGCACCAUUUUGGGAACAGGAAUUGCCAAUGCCUAAGUUGUUUUCAUUUGAAAUGUAAAUUUUUUCAUCUUCCCAAACUUUCCAGUGAAGUCCACAUAAAUGCCUAUGUGAGUAGGUUUUAUCUUAUUUUUGUGUUGUGCAAAUUAAAAAAAAGGGACACAUUUUCUGCUGGUGACAAUAAUAGCAAGAAAAUGAGAGAACUCCUAUAUUGAACAAAUACGGCAAAAGGAAGAGCUCAGAGUCAGAGAAGGAUAUGAUAAUACAAGUUCUUUCAGAGUUCUCAGAAAUCUCAUAAAAGGCCUUGGAAUUUCCAGUAGUUGUAAAAAGUGGAAUCCAAUCUUCCCUGACUCUUAAGGUGUCUGUGGGUACAGCUGAUGUGUAGUCAAACCCUUACCAUGGCUACUCAGCAUAACUAGAAAAUACUCACACUUUAUGUGCUCAAAAUUUUGUAGACUCUGGACUUUCUUGUAUGUGAUUAUGCAGAAUUUCUUAUGUUUCUUAACCAGCCAGUAACAUAGACACCUUUCUUCCAUAGUUAAGAAAAGUUACCAAAACUUGGUAUUAGAAAUAAAGCAAAUAGGUAGGUAGUGUUGGGGUUCAGGGGAGCCCUCAGUUCCUCUGAGAGGAUGUUUCUCCAAGGUUAUUGGUCUCCUGUUCUCUCAAGAAUGAGAGAGGUUACCAUAGCAGGUGCACUCAUAAAGUAAAAUACCAGACCCCAAACAGAGUUUACAGAGAGUGAUUUUAUUAGGUAGAGAAAGAGAAAAAGGAGAAGAGAGAAAAAUUCCAUGAAGAGUGUGGAAGGGGACUCCAGAGGGGAAAUCCAGCUGGGUGUGGGGACAAGGACUUUUAACCUGGGAGAAAUUCCCUUCUUCUCCAAGCCCCGCAGGCCAAUGAAAAGAGUUCCUUAGAAAUUCUGCUGGAGUGAUUGACUUUUGAUUCAUCCCACACCUGUGAAAUUUAAACAUAAACUGUUAAAUCUCCCGGAUGGAGAGAGAUGAGAGUGGGGCAUGGUGCCUUGAAGUUCUUGCCCUUAAAACUAGACCUCCGUGUGGACCCGGAAAGAGCACACAUUUCCUCAUUCCCCACUCUGAAUAGGAAAGCCCAACUUCUGUUGGAACACAGGCAUUGAUCGCUCUUUAGAUACUUCCUGCUGAAAUGGGGUAUAGAAGGGGCCCUGCAGUUGAUGUUUCCUCCAGAGGGAAGUCUUUCAGGCAUGCAGGUUGAUCUAGAGGUCUGUGAUAGAGCUCAUGAGCCAAGGACAUCCAGGGUUCUGGUGGCUGGAUUAUUUGUGACCUUAUGGUUCUAUAAGAAAUGAUGUGACGAUGUGGUUAAAGAUGACAGGCCCAGAGGCCAACAAAUAUACAAUGGUUAUAAACAAGCCUAGGAGAACAGAGCCAGGACAGCCAGUUGUUAAACAAGCCUUACAAUACUGUUUCUGAAAGAUUUUUAGCCCUGUGUUUGAUUGAUUCUUCAGUUUUAUGUUCAAAACAAUACUUAACUGGUUUACAAAGUAGCAGCAUUUUUCCUAGAAAGAGAUAGGUUUCCCUUCCACUAUGAAAAGGAUACUUGGAGUUCGAGAGAUAUCAAAGUUGAGGGUUAUAACCCUGUUAAGGCAGGAUAUAAAUUACACUUAUGAGUGGUUACUUCCCUGAGGAUUUUGUUGGAAAAGCAGAUGUAGUUCUUCUAAUGGCUCACAGGGCUAUGGAGGGUUGUCUCCUGGAACUUCAGGCUGUGGAGUGGAGGUCCUAUGACUUUCUUCAGGAGGUGUCCAAGACUUCGGGAUUUGGGAUUUUUUAAUAAUGGAGAUAAACAUUAGUGGUUUUGUUUUGUUUUGGUUUGGUAAGUUUGGCAUAGGACCUAUCACGGUUUUUGUGCUUUUGGUCACAAUUUUGUCCCUAGAAUGCCUGUAAUUAGGCAUAUGUAAUGAGUUACCUAACUACUUUAAUACAGUGGUUUGAAGUGCUUCAGUAAGUAACUCCUAAACACCAAAUCACAGUGUUUUAAUUUGUGAUAUGUUGGAGAGAAUGGUAGAACUUUCUGUAGUAUAAGUAUUUCAUUAACUCAUCCUUGUGCUGUUAAGUUACAGUGCUUUGACUCCUGGUUCUGUGGAAGGCACGAAGUCCUGCUUAAUCUUGAGCAUUGAUACCAGUCAAAGCCUUGUCUUCAGAUGAGUUUUGGUGAUAAUCAAAAACUGUUUUGUGAGACACAGGGCCAGAAAUUAAAACUAUAGAAUUUCUCUAGGACCAGGUGAUAGUUGCAGGAAGUAGACAAAUUCCUAGGCAGCUAGGGGCAGGUCCCUGAUGAAACCCGACCUUCAAGCUAGUGACAGCUUGAAGCCUGAAAACCAAGCUGCCACUCCAGGUAGAAUCCACUACCUGGAGUGUAAAGUUCCUUGAUCUCUUUCAGUUCAUCAAAUGGUACUUUUCCCAGGUCUACCCAUGAACCAAUUAGCAUUCACUUUCUCUGUUCUGAGUCCAUAAAAACCUCAGACUCAGCCACAUGUCAGGACUACCUGUCCACAGGUAGGAACUACCCAUUUCAGGUCUCCUCUCCACUGAGAGCUGAUUAAAACUCAGUGAAACUAUUUUCCACCUUGCUCAACCUCCAGUUGUCCAUGUACCUUCAUUCUUCCUGGACACUGGACAAGAACUCAGGACCUGCAAAAUGGCAGGCAUAAAAAGGGCUAUAAUAUGUUCCCAGCCAGCUUGCUGAGUGCUGAGCUAUGAGAGGGAGGAAAAGGAUCUGUAAUAUAUUUCCAACUAGCUCACCAAGCUGUGACAUGCUCCUGUUCACCAGAUUGCAGGAGUGAAGAGUAGUAACGUUCUGAGAACCCAGACCUUGAGAUUCUCCUGACCACAACUGUGACAUUAUAGCCAUCCAACCCUCUUCCAGCAUUGGGCAACUGCCCCAUAUGAUGGGAAGCAGCUUCAGAGCUAGGCUAGCCUGGGAACUAUGGGAGAAAGGGAAGUGGUUGGACUAAAAGAGAUGAAACAAACCCUCCUCAUUCACCUUGCUGCAGUGAUAGGAAUAAGAGAUCUGUAGCAUGCCCCCUGCACUGGGACUCUAUGGUUACUAGUGUCUCCAAGUUUUUAGGCACCAUCGUGUGUCUCUCUUCAAGACAUCAGCACCCUCAGUGGAAGCUAUUUGGAGUAUGCCUGGUCCAGCUGCAGCCUUGUAUGGAGCCAUACAGGCACCUCGAGUUGCUUUCCCCACCAUAGCCAGCAUGUCUGUCUGUGCACAGUGGCCGAAUGCCACACUUGCUUGCCUAUACACCUCUCACCACUCCACACCUGGCCUAUCCUUGGCAGUUGUAGGACCUGGACCAGGAGCACAAGCCAAGCACAGCCUACCAGGCUGAGUGAGCAGAAUGAGCCCAGCGGGCAUGAGAAAAACUCAAGCAGAGGUGCUGCUGGCCACAGAAGUUUCCAGCUAAUGAAGCAACACUGGAAGGAUCUUGUCACACAGGUACUAUUGAAGAAGAGGUGAGUGCAUGAGAUUGUAAGAGCCAAUUUUGAGGGUUAAGAUUAGUUCAGAGUUUUUCUAUAAACAUUAAUAUCAAAAGCACACCAAUGCAAGGCUAGCAUCUGAACCCAUGUGUCAGACUUCUCUCUUCUUUAAUAGAAAAUUAUAAAAGCUUAUAAAAUGUUUAUGAAAAUUUUAUGGUCAAAUUGAUUACAACUAGAUAAAUUAUAAAAUUUUGUAAAAAAUAUCUUUAACAUUAAUACUAUACCUUAUAAAGGUAGUAUUGGUUUUCUGUUUUGAAGUCGUUUUUUAUGGAAGAGUUAAGAGUUUUUUUUUGUUCGUUUAAAAGUACAGAUGAAAAAAUUUGUGGGCUGGGGGGAGUUGGAGAGACAGAUUUAGUUGGCCUCAUACUAUUUUUAUAAGGACUUACUGUUUGAGAAACUGCUUCUCCUCACUAUCAAAGGUAAACAUGUUUGUAUUUUUAUCUUGGCUAAAUGAAUGACUAUAGUAACUUGUAAUCCUAUUUUAUGAUACCAAGUGUCUUAAAUCUUUGAUAUUUGACAGACUUCCUGAAAGCAAAAUUUCAAGUUGUACUUUCUGUCUUUUUGACCUCAAACUAACUUUUAUGAAUGUUAGGGUCUCUGAAGUCUGAGAGAGACAUAUUAGGCUUAUUAGGCUUGUUUGUUAUGUUAUGAUUAUGCAGAAAGUAUUGUUAAAUCUGAGGUGGUGUUUAGCUUCUGAUAUGGUUUGGCUGUGUCCCCAUCCAAAUCUCAUCUUCAAUCAUAAAUCCUACAAUUCCCACGUGUUGUGAGAGGAACUCAGAGUGAGGUAAUUGAAUUAUGGGGGUGGGUCCUUCCUGUGCUGUUCUUAUGAUAGUGAAUGAGUCUCACAAGGUCUGAUGGUUUUAAUAAGGGGAGAUUCCCUGCAUAAGCUCUCUUCUCUUAAUCUGCUGCCAUGUCAGACAUGCCUUUCACCUUCCACCAUCACUGUGAGGCCUCCCCAGGCACAUUGAAGUAUAAGUUCCAUAAACCUUUUUCUUUUGUAAAUUGCCCAGUCUCAGGUGUGCCUUUAUUAGCAGCAUAAAAACAGACUAAAACAGUAAAUUGGUACCAGUACGGUGAGGUGUGGCAGAAAAUAUGGAAGCAACUUUGGAAGUAGGUGACAGGCAGAAGUUGGAACAGUUUGGAGGGCUCACAGGAAGAUAGGAAAAUGUGGAAAAGUUCAGAACUCCCUAGAGACUUGUUGACUGGCUUUCAGAAAAAUGCCAAUAGCAAUAUGAGCAAUAAGGUCCAGGCUGAGGUAAUUUCAGAUACAGAUGAAGAACUUACUGGGAACUGGAGCAAAGAUGACUUCUGUUAUGUUUUAGCAAGGAGACUGGCAGCAUUUUACCCCUGCCCUAGAAAUUUGUGGAACUUUGAAUUUGAGAAAGAUAAGUUAGGGUAUCUGGCAGAAGAAAUUUCUUAAGUAGCAAAGCAUUCAAGAAGUGAUUUGAUUGCUGUUAUAGACAUUCAGUUUUAAAAAGGAAACAAAAUAAAAGUUCGGAAAAUUUGCAUCCUGAUGAUGUAGUGGAAAAGAAAAUCCCAUUUUCUGAGGUGAAAUUCAAGCCAGCUGCAGAAAUUUGCAUAAAUAAUGAGGAGCCAAAUGUUAAUCCCCAAGACAAUGGGGAAAAUGUCUCCAGGGCAUGCCAGAGGUCUUCAUGGCAGCCCCUCCCAUCACAGGCCUGAAGAUCUAGGAGGAAAAAGUGGUUUUGUGGGCCAGGCCCAGUGUCCCUGUGCUGUGUGCAGCCUAGGGACUUGGUGCUCUGUGUCUUAGCCUCUCCAGCCAUGGCUGAAAGGGGCCAACACAGAGCUUGGGCCAUGGCUUCUGAGAGUAUGAGCCCCAAAGUCGGCGGCUUCCACAUGGUAUUGAGCCUGCAAAUGCACAGAAGUCAAGAAUGGAGGUUUGGGAACCUUCACCUAGAUUUCACAGAAUGUAUGGAAAUGCCUAGAUGUCCAGUAGUGAGUUUGCUGUAGGGGUGGGGCUCUUAUGGAGAACCUCUGCUCCAGUGAAGAAGGGAAAUGUGGUGUUGGAGACCCCAUACAGAGUCCCUACUGUGGAACUGCCUAGUGGGAUUGUGAGAAGAGGGCUACCGUCCUCCAGAUCCCAGAAUUGUAGAUCCACUGACAACUUGCACUGUGUGCCUGGAAAAGCCACAGACCUUCAACAAAAGCCCAUGAAAGCAGCUGGGAGGGAGACUACACCCUGCAAAAACACAGGGGCGGAGCUGCCCACGAUCAUGGGAACCCAUCUUUUGCAUCAGCAUGACCUGGAUGCAAGACAUGGAGUCAAAGAGAUCAUUUUGAAACUUUAAGAUUUGACUGCCCCACUGGCUUUUGCACUUUUUGCAUGUAGCCCCUUGGUUUUGACCAUUUGAAGUGGCUGUAUCUUCCCAAUUCCUGUGCCCCAAUUGUAGCUUGGAAGUAACUAACUUGCUUUGGAUUUACUGAUUCAUAGAUGGAAGGGACUUGCCUUGUGUCAGAUAUGAUAUUGGACUGUGGACUUUUGAGUUAAUGCUGAAAUGAGUUAAGACUUUGGGGCGCUGUUGGGAAGACAUGAUUAGUUUUGAAAUGUGAGGACUUGAGAUUUAAGAGGGAACAGGGAGGAAUGAUAUGGUUUGGCUGUUUUCCCAUCCAUAUCUCACCUUGAACUGUAACUCCCACAGUUCCUACAUGCUGUGGGAGAAACCCAGUGUGAUGUGAUUGGAUUACAGGACUGGCCUUUCCUAUGCAGUUCUCAUGGUAGGGAAUGAGUUUCACAAGAUCUGAUGGUUUUAAAAUUGGGAGUUUCCCUGCACAAGCUCUGUUAUUUUCUCUGCUGCCAUGUGAGACAUGCCUUUCGCCUUCCACCAUGAUUGUGAGCCCCCCCCAGCCACGUGGAACUGUAAGUCCAAUAAACCGCUUCUUUUGUAAAUUGCUCAGUGUCAGGUAUGUCUUUAUCAGCAGCAUGAAAAUGGACCAAUACAGCUUCCUUUCAGUUGUGUUUAUAUUUAUAUAGUUGUGUUGUUAACAUGUGUUCCAGGAUUGUAUAAGAUUCCUAAAAUUCUGCUAUGUCUUAAUAUAUGUUGUCAAUAAUAAUUAUCAUUAUUAUGUUAGCUUGUUGUAUGCCACAGAAAUAACCAAAUUUCCUGUCAACUGUGUUUUCAGCUAUGACUGUGUUAAGAAUUUUGUCAUCCACAAUCGUUUUGCUUUCAUCUCAAAAUGUGACUUAUAGUCAGCCACAGUCCAGGAUUGUUUCUUUGACGGACUUCAUAAAAAUGACUCCUAAAUGCAAGUUUCUGAUUAUUUUGGAGAUUGUGCAAUUGGACUAGAGGUAAAAUUUCCAGGGCACUAAUUGAAAGGCUGGUAUGUUCAUAAAGAUUGCUAACCUUAUAUGAAACAGAGCAAUAGUUGAUUGCAUGAACUGACGAACAGGGGACUGAAACAAUUUUUAUGCCUUUUUUUGUGUUUGAAAUAUUGAUGAUUCUUUUUGUUUUUUAGUCUGGAGAUUUUUUUUCUAUUAAGCUAUGUAUAUUUUAUUUUAUUUUAUUUUUAACUCUCUUGCCCAGGCUGGAGUGCAGUGGCAUGAUCUCGGCUCACUGCAACCUCCACCUCCUGGGUUCAGGUGAUUUUUCUGCCUCAGCCUCUGAGCAGCUGGGACUACAGGUGUGCACCACCAUGCCUGGCUAAUUUUUUUGUGUUUUUAGUAGAGAUGGCGUUUUACUAUCUUGGCCAGGCUGGUCUCUAACUCCUGACUUUGUGAUCUGCCCACUUCAGCCUCCCAAAGAGUUGGGAUUACAGGCGUGAGCCACUGCGCCUGGCCUGUACAGCUCUUAAGUAUACUUUAAGUAUAAUGAGUAGUGUAUACUUUCAUAAAUGGAAUUUAAGGCAUAUUUCUCUUUCUCUGCUUAAUUUCUUCAGAAUUUGUAAACUAUUUCUAAAUAGUGUUAAUUUAUGCCAAUGUGUUUGUUUACGUAAGUUCAAUAAGAAUCUGUCUUCAUUUAUAAUGGGACAUAGUUGGAGGAACUGAUUAUUGUCCCAGGGCUUUGAUUGAAAUAGCCUUGUGAGAGGUUCCAGUAAGGGCAAUUUAGGAUCGCCUACGUAGACAGUGAUUCUUGCUGCACUUUGUGUGGGUAAUCAGGCGAAGCAUAUAGGACUGAAGCUUAUUUUGCUGGUAGAUUGGUCCUGCUGUGAUUUGUCAUUGGUAGAAGUCUGGGACUGGAGAGAGAAUGAUUGUGUUUCAGUAGAAAACUAUAGUAUUAGAUUAACCUUUGAUUCCUGAAUGGCCAUGUAGUCGCCCAUGUUAUAGAGCUGCCCACUAUGUCCCUCUACAGCAUGAAGCAGACAAAAAGAUUGACAACUGGAUUCCCCAUGAUUGAGGAGUUGAUAUAUAGAAAGGGGGCACUGAAACUGACUCAGUAGUCUCAUAGGCAAAUUUUUUGGGGGAUAAACAUAAAUAUUUACCCUCCUGGUCUUAAAUUUUGAAAAUUAUAUUUGUUUUAUCUGAGUUUUUUCCUAAGAAAAGAACCCCCCAGCCCUCUCAAAAGAUAUCAAGGAACUGAAACACACCAGACCACCACAUCCAGACAAUGAGACAUUAGGUCCCUUAUUCAUUCUCAUUGCCUUCUUAGCCCUCCUGAGUUCCUGUUUUCCUGCACAUAGUUACAUUUCUUCCCUGCUAUAUAAACCCCUAAUUUGGUUAGCCAGGGAGAUGGAUUUGUGAUCCAUCUGAUUUUUUUGUUUGUUUGUUUCCUUGGCUGCAGCCUUCGAUUAAAGCCUUCUUUUCUGACAAUUGUUGUCUCAGUGACUGGCUUUCCUUGUGGUGAGCAGCAAGACCUAGACCGAAUCCCUGGUGUUUCAGUAACAAAAAGACAUACAUGGAGAGACCUAUGCUCUACAGAAAAUUAGCCAGAUGUGUUGGCAUGUGCCUGUAGUCCCAGUUACUCAGGAGGCUGAGGUGGGAGAAUCACUUGAGCCUGGGAGGUGGAGCUUGUAGUGAGCCAUGAUCCCACCACUGCACUCCAGCCUGAGUGACAGAGCAAAACCCUGUUCCAAAAAAAGCAGAUCUAGUGAGAAAACAUACAUCAAAUGAAUGUUGGAAUGGUUAAAUUAAAAAAUAUCAAAAGACUUAAAAACUUCUAGAAAUAAGGAGGGCUAUUACAUAAUAAAUAAGGGUAAAUUUAUCAAGGGGAGUUGACAAUACUAAAGGAGUAUGUAUGUAAUAUGAGAGCCUCAAAAUAUAUGAAGCAAAAACAGAGAAUUUACAGGAGAAAUAGAUCCAGGAUUAUAAUUAGAGAUUCAGGACUGAUUUCAGCAAUGGAUAGGCAUAAAACCAGCAAGGAUAUAUCAAAAGUUAGCUAGAACAUUAACUAACUUGGUCUAAUUGGCAUAGAGUACACCGCUCAGCAAUAGCAAAAUGCAUAUUCAUUUCAAGUGUACAUUGAAAAGACACCAAGAUAGAUCAUAUUCUGGGUAACAUGACAGACUCAUUUAAAUAUUUGAAUUUGUGCAUGGUCCUAAAGGAAUUAAAGUAGAAAUCAAUAAAAGAUAAAAGGAAAAUCCACAAACACUUGGAUUUCAAGUAAUACACUUCUAGAAAAUACUGGGAUUAAAGAGAUAGUCUCAAGGGAAAUUAGAAAAUAUUUUAAACUGGAUAAAAAUACAGCUGCCAUAUGUGGAAUGCAGCUAAAAUAGCGCUAGAGGAAACUUUAUAUCAUUAAUUGCUAAUAUUAAAAGACAGUUAAGGUAUCAGACUAAUAACUUAAAUUCCAACUUAAGAAACUAUAGAAAAGAACAACAAACCAAAUGCAAGCAGAGGGGAGGAAAUCAUAAAUAUAAGCACAGAGCUCAAGAAAAUUAAAAUAGGAAAACCAUGGAGAAAAUCUUUGAAACUAAAAGCUUAUUUUUUGAGGUGAUGAAUAAAACUAGAGAAGAUACAAAUUGUCAAUAUUAGGAUUGAAAUAGGAGAUAAUACUAUGGACCCAGUAGACAUUAAGAAGGUAAGAGAAUAUUAUAAAAUCUAUUCACAUAUACAAUUGAAAAUUUAUUCAAAAUGGAUCAAUUUCUUAAAAAUCACAAAUAAAACUCACACAGGUUGAAAUAGAUACCCUGAAGAGUCCUAAAACUUGUGAAAAUAUUGACAAAGUCUCUCUCCUUUGACUAGAACUUUCGUAAGCCUUCUCUGAGUCCUCUGCUUAACUGUGUGUGAACUUGGACUUCCCUCUCUGUAUAGAAUACAGUUUUAGUAAGAAUUCUGCUAAAUCAGCUUAGAGCGGAUCUCACAGGCUUGACAUUUGACCACCCUUAUCUUAUCACCCUGGCUUGCCUUCAGCAAUAAUCCUAUUAAGUAAUAAUCCUAAGCCAGGAAGCUCUUAUGCUGGAUGUUUCCUCCUAGUAAUUUUCUAUCUACUGCCCCCUCUCUUCUCUUUGGUUAUAAAUCCUCACUUGUCCCUCUUGGGAGUCAAAGUGGGUUUCAAUAUCUCUUCCCUACAGUGAGACUGCAUUGCAGUGGUCCCUAUAUCUAUCAUCAUGGCCCCCUUAAUAAAGUCUGACUCACCAUUUUUAACAAGUGUUUGGAUCACUGUUUUCCUUUAAUGACAUUAAAUCAUGUUUAAAAUCUAUUCUGGAAACAAUAUCUCCAGGCCCAGAUAUAUUCACUCAAAUCCAACCAAAUAUUUCAAGAAUAAGACCAAUUUUUCACAAUCUUUUGGUUAA